GCCCGAAUGGCUCAGUGGUAAAGCGUCUCACUAGUAUACACUGGCUGUCCCAGUCAGAGGAUUGGGAGAGCGGAUACGAUAUGAGAAGAUCGCCAGUUCGAUUCUGGCUUUGGGCA
rfam:Colletotrichum sublineola strain TX430BB Scaffolds1369.1, whole genome shotgun sequence.